GACGAACGCUGGCGGCGUGCUUAACACAUGCAAGUCGAACGGAAAGGCCCUGCUUUUGUGGGGUGCUCGAGUGGCGAACGGGUGAGUAACACGUGUGUAUCCUGCCCUUGACUUUGGGAUAACUUCAGGAAACUGGGGCUCAUACCGGAUAUGAGCUCCUGCUGCAUGUUGUUCGUUGGAAAGUUUCGGCGGUUGUGGAUGGACUCGCUGCUUAUCAGCUUGUUUGUGUGGUAGUGGCUUACCAAGGCUGUGACGGCUAGGCGGCAUGGGAGCGUGAACGGGGACAAUGGGACUGAGAGACGGAGCAGAAUCGUACGGGAGGCAGUAGGGGAGAGUAUUGCGCAGUGGGGGGAAGCGAGAGACAGCAACGCCGCGAGCGGGAUGACGGCUUUCGAGGGGUAAACAGAUGUGGAAGGAGACGAAGAGGGAGUGACGGUAAUGGAUAAAGAAGCACCGGCUAACUACGUG
rnacentral:rRNA from 1 species